CUAGGAAAGUUCGUUUGAGAUUUACCUGAUGUGGAAGCUCGUCUGAAGAUUAUCCAUCAGAGAAGUCUGGUUGCAUGAAGAAUCUGGCGAAGGGUCGGCCGAUGGUGGACCUCGGAUGGCGUUGGGGAGAUUCGACAGACACCGGAGGCGAUCGGUCGUUGUAGAAAUCCAGCUGCUGGAGCCCGUCUGUUGUAGAAGCUCGUCCGAUAUCCAUCCGCUAUGGAAGUUCGG
rnacentral:lncRNA from 1 species